rnacentral:rRNA from 1 species
UACGAAGGGGCUAGCGUUGUUCGGAUUUACUGGGCGUAAAGCGCACGUAGGCGGAUUGUUAAGUCAGGGGUGAAAUCCCGGAGCUCAACUCCGGAACUGCCUUUGAUACUGGCAAUCUUGAGGCUGGAAGAGGUUAGUGGAAUUCCCAGUGUAGAGGUGAAAUUCGUAGAUAUUGGGAAGAACACCGGUGGCGAAGGCGGCCAACUGGACCACAACUGACGCUGAGGCGCGAAGCGUGGGGAGCAAACAGG